GAGGGUAUAGGUCAGUGGUAAAGCACAUGCUUAGCACGCACGAGGUCCUGCGUUCAAUCCUCAGUACCUCCA
rnacentral:tRNA from 1 species